rnacentral:rRNA from 1 species
GACGAACGCUGGCGGCGUGCCUAAUACAUGCAAGUCGAACGCACUCUCGUUUAGAUUGAAGGAGCUUGCUCCUGAUUGAUAAACAUUUGAGUGAGUGGCGGACGGGUGAGUAACACGUGGGUAACCUGCCCUAAAGCGGGGGAUAACAUUUGGAAACAGAUGCUAAUACCGCAUAAAACCUAACACCGCAUGGUGUAGGGUUGAAAGAUGGUUUCGGCUAUCACUUUAGGAUGGACCCGCGGUGCAUUAGUUAGUUGGUGAGGUAAAGGCUCACCAAGACCGUGAUGCAUAGCCGACCUGAGAGGGGUAAUCGGCCACACUGGGACUGAGACACGGCCCAGACUCCUACGGGAGGCAGCAGUAGGGAAUCUUCCACAAUGGACGAAAGUCUGAUGGAGCAACGCCGCGUGAGUGAAGAAGGUUUUCGGAUCGUAAACUCUGUUGUUGGAGAAGAAUGUAUCUGAUAGUAACUGAUCAGGUAGUGACGGUAUCCAACCAGAAAG